GGAAAACCCUGGAUCAAGAAUCCUAAUGAGUCUCUAUGAAUGUGUCAUUGCAAGCAACUUCAGAAAGCAUGAAAAGAAAUCACUACCAGUGGAGGAUGGAGGACUGUUGAGCACUUGUCCAUCAAUUUUGAUUUUCAUUCUGAUGUGAAAUGUGCUAUCAGUCAAAAAAUCAAGCUUGCAGGAACUUAAGGAAUUCAGACAAGUCCAUCUGCUAAAUGAUGUCAGAAAUGUUCUACAUCCUUAUAGAAAACAAUUAAACAGUGGAAGAUUUAGAAUUAAAAACUGUUCCCUGGAUUGUUAAAUCUUCAAAAAACUGUGAAGUAAGAAAUUUAUUGAAAUUACUCUCUGUACAUGUCCAUCUCUAUU